rnacentral:rRNA from 1 species
UGGGGAAUCUUAGACAAUGGGGGAAACCCUGAUCUAGCCAUGCCGCGUGAGCGAUGAAGGCCUUAGGGUUGUAAAGCUCUUUCAGCUGGGAAGAUAAUGACGGUACCAGCAGAAGAAGCCCCGGCUAACUCCGUGCCAGCAGCCGCGGUAAUACGGAGGGGGCUAGCGUUGUUCGGAAUUACUGGGCGUAAAGCGCACGUAGGCGGAUUAGUCAGUCAGAGGUGAAAUCCCAGGGCUCAACCCUGGAACUGCCUUUGAUACUGCUAGUCUUGAGGUCGAGAGAGGUGAGUGGAAUUCCGAGUGUAGAGGUGAAAUUCGUAGAUAUUCGGAGGAACACCAGUGGCGAAGGCGGCUCACUGGCUCGAUACUGACGCUGAGGUGCGAAAGCGUGGGGGAGCAAAACAGGAUUAGAUACCCCUGGUAGUCCACGCCGUAAACGAUGAUGCCAGUCGUCGGGUUGCAUGCAAUUCGGUGACACACCUAACGGGNUUUAAACUUCCGCCUGGGGAGUACGGUCGCAAGAUUAAAACUCAAAUGAAUUGACGGGGUCAUAGCUG